AACGAACGCUGGCGGCAGGCCUAACACAUGCAAGUCGAGCGCCCGCAAGGGAGCGGCGGACGGGUGAGUAACGCGUGGGAACGUGCCCAUUGCUACGGAAUAGACUCGGGAAACUGAGAGUAAUACCGUAUGUGCCCUUCGGGGGAAAGAGUUAUCGGCAAAGGAUCGGCCCGCGUGGGAUUAGGUAGUUGGUGGGGGAAGGGCCUACCAAGCCGACGAUCCAUAGCUGGUGUGAGAGGAUGAUCAGCCACACUGGGACGGAGACACGGCCCAGAAUCAUACGGGAGGCAGCAGUGGGGAAUAUUGGAAAAUGGGGGCAACCCUGAUCCAGCCAUGCCGCGUGAUUGAUGAAGGCCUUAGGGUUGUAAAGCUCUUUCACCGUGGAAGAUAAUGACGGUACCCGGAGAAGAAGCCCCGGCUAACUUCGUGCCAGCCGCCGCCGUAAUAC
rnacentral:rRNA from 1 species